CUAGCUUGAAGGGGCUGUGGAAGUUAUCAGUAUCGAAAGGGAAUCGUGAGCAUCAAUCACUAACAAAAUGGGGCCUGGAGGCUACAAGAGAGGAACAUGGAAGCAUUUGAUGAAUUCCAUUUGAUGAACCAAGCAGAGCAGUUCCCUCGAGGCAACUUGCACAAGGAGACUUGCCUAACUUAACAGCAGCUGUCUGCAGAAAGAACUAUCCAGCUCUGGCCGCAGGCUGCAGCUACAAAAGAGAUGUCCCUCCUUCACUGUCUUAGCUACUGUUCUUUUGCUGUGAUGAAACACCAUGACCAAGCCAAAAUCAACUCUCUCUUGCUCCCCAUCUGGCAGUUCUUGGGGGACUUGCUGGAAGAAGCUGUCAUCCAGGAGAUGGCCUUUGGAAAUUACACCUUGGUCCUUGGCUCUGCCCUGUUCUCCUCCCUGGUCCAAUGCAAUGUCGGGGAACUUGAACCACACACUCCCACCGUCACAGACCAAGCUGUACGUCUUGCCCAUCCCUGCCAUGGAGGACAGAAGCCUCUGAGAUCAUGAGUCACAUGACUAACACAGAUGCACCAUUCCAUUCUGGGAAAGGACAGGGUCUCAUUACGCAGCUCUGGCUGGCUUGGAGCUCACUCUGUGCAUGUGAAUGUAUUCAAACUCAUAGAGACCCACCUGCUUCUGCAUCUGGAGUGCUGAAAUUAAUGACAUGUACCAACAUGCCUGGCUAAGAAGACAUCCUUUAAUCUCAAGGAGGAGCCACCCAGACAGCUACGUGGUGGAGAGAAAGCCUGGGGAUGCCACGCUGUGUGACUGGGUCCAGUCCCGUGGUCAGUCGAGGAGUUGGUUGCAACCUUCGAGGCCUGCCUUCAGUGCAGCCUCCCAGUGAGGCCUGCCGCUUGUCUGGGCCUCAAGUCCCUCCCUGGCCUCCUCUUUGGUGAGGUUUCUGAGUCCCCCUAGACAUUGACCGUUUCUGCUUCUCAUGAGCAAAGACAUCUUGCAGGUACCUGCUGGAACCUGCCACAUCAGAUCCCACCUGCUUCUGUGUUCCCAGGUCUUCUGGGAAAGAUGAGGUAGAAUCUCUGAUGCUCCCAGUAAGGUAGACAAGCUACCUUCCAGGGGGCAGCAUCUAUACGGCUGCCACUGUUGUGUGGUUCCAGGUAAAUGCCAAGAUCUUUGUGCCCCAGCUGACCGGUCAGCCCCAUUCACAAGGGCAAGCUUCCCUUAGGCAAGGAGAAACGAAGAUGAGUGGCAGAGAGGGGGAGGGGCCACUGAGCCAUCUCGAAGGCUCCUUCCAGGUCUGUGAUUCUAGGAUUAUAGUCAUCUUUCAAUUUUUUAUUUUUAUUUUUUUUUAUUUUGCAUUUAUUUAUAUUUUUUUACUUUUGUACUACUGGAGGUUGAACCUAGGGCAUUAUACAUGCAAGGCAGAACUUUAUCAUGGAGUUGGCAUGUUCCCAGCCCUAAAAUUGUAACAGUGAGCUGAAGAUAGCUUGAACCUGGGCCAAACACCCCAGGGGAAGAGGAGGAAGGAGAGGAGGAGGAGAAAAAGGAGGGAGGGAGGGGGAGGGAAGAAGGAGAGGAAGAGGCAGAAGAGGAGGAAAGGAGGGAGGGAGGAGGAGGAAGAGGAGGAGGAAGAAGAAAAGAGGAAAGAACAAGACAAACAAAAGAAAUGGAAUGUCCAAGGGGGUGAAUGGGGAGCGUUAGAAAACCUUUAGAAUUCCCAUUUGAGCCUUGUCUGCAUUCAGGAGCAUUCUUCAGCAAGGCUCUGCUCUCAAGAGUGUCUAGAUUAGCCAGCACCAGACUUCAAUCACAUGCCCAGUCUGGCUAAUUGCUGCGGCCUGAGGUACCAAAAGGGCAAGUGACUGGAGGGUUGGCACCUGGGCCUCCUGCCUCUGAGUCCCGAGUGUCACUUCCAGCUGGUUUGAUUUGCCCUUCCCAGUGUGUGUGGUCAUGCCUUGUCCUUUCCUAAGCCCCCUGAGCAUUUUCCCUGUGGUUUCAUAGUUCACUCUGCUUGUUGGAGUGGGAUGGGGCUUUACAGACCUGCUGUGUUACCCUCCAGUCGUUAACUAUGAGAUCUGAACAUAGUUAACCUGUGCUCUAGUCUUCUAAUCUCCAAAACAAGACCACUGGAAGCCAGUGUGCAGAGUCACUGUGAAAUAUGAAACGCGAGAGAGGCCCUGUCUCAAAAAGCACCCUGUGCCCCCAAAUUAAAAAACAAACAAAUAAAGCCAGGCGUAGCUGUGCGUGCCUUUGAUCUCAGUGCUGGGAAGCAGAGCCAGACAGAUCUCUGCGAGAGCAGCUCAGCUUUGUCUCCAUAGUGAGUUCCAGGACAACCAGGGCUACAUAGAAAGACCCUGUCUCAAAAACAAAAAAAUAAAAUAAGAAUUAAAUAAAAUGCGUAGAAAUG
ensembl:lincRNA Gm32200 predicted gene, 32200